AUGGAGGCAGACGCGAGCCAUGCACCCACCACCUCUUCCUCCUCCGUCUCCUCGUCGACAUUGUCCACCUCCUCCUCCUCCUCCUCCCUCGCCACCAGCGCGCUAGAGCUCCCCAAGAGCCCCAAGCCCAAGCACCCCAAGAAGCGCAAGAGAGCCGGCUCCGACCGAGAGCAGGACGCCGCCGCGAACACCAAUGGUGUCCGUGGAGACGAGAGCAGCUGCUGCAGCACCGACGAAGACUUCGCCGCCGCGAGCGUCAAGGCGGCCGUGCCCAAGAGCGGCUUCAAGCACCCGUCGUACCGCGGGGUGCGGCGCCGGAGCUGGGGCAAGUGGGUGUCCGAGAUCCGCGAGCCGCGCAAGAAGUCGCGCAUCUGGCUCGGCACCUUCCCGACCGCCGAGAUGGCGGCGCGCGCCCACGACGUGGCCGCGCUCGCCAUCAAGGGCCGCUCCGCGCACCUCAACUUCCCGGAGCUCGCGCACGAGCUGCCCCGCCCGGACUCCACGUCGCCCGCGGACAUCCAGGCCGCCGCCGCGAAGGCCGCCGCCACCGCCGCCGUGCAGUGCGAGGCCGAGCCCGAGCACGAGCACGAGCCGGAGACGCCGUCGUCCUCCUCCGGCGCCGUCUCGGAGACACCGGAGGCCGCAGCCUGCGCCGAAGCGGCGCCCGCGGACAGCGGCGAGGUCGACAAUGCGCUGUUCGACCUGCCCGACCUCCUUCUGGACCUGAGGGACGGGCUCUUCUGGUCGCCGGUCUGGCCGGCGGCGCUGGCCGCCGAGGAGUACGACGGCGGCUGCUGCGUCGGGCUCAGCGAGCCUCUCCUGUGGGCCGAGUAG
rnacentral:rRNA from 1 species